AGAUUGAACGCUGGCGGCAGGCCUAACACAUGCAAGUCGAGCGGCAGCACGGGUACUUGUACCUGGUGGCGAGCGGCGGACGGGUGAGUAAUGCCUAGGAAUCUGCCUAGUGGUGGGGGAUAACGUUCGGAAACGGACGCUAAUACCGCAUACGUCCUACGGGAGAAAGCGGGGGACCUUCGGGCCUCGCGCCAUUAGAUGAGCCUAGGUCGGAUUAGCUAGUUGGUGAGGUAAUGGCUCACCAAGGCGACGAUCCGUAACUGGUCUGAGAGGAUGAUCAGUCACACUGGAACUGAGACACGGUCCAGACUCCUACGGGAGACAGACGAGUGGGGAAUAGUUAGGACAAUGGGCGAAAAGCCUGAUCCAGCCAAUGCCGCGUGUGUGAAGUAAGGUCUUCGGAAUU
rnacentral:rRNA from 1 species